CAUGAGAAGCUGGUAUCAGUGACAGUGACUGAGCACUGGAACAGGUUGCCCAGAGAAGCUGUGGAAUCUCCUCCCUUGGAGAUAUUCACAAGCCAUCUGGACACAACCCUGCACAACACACUCUAGGUGACCCU